rnacentral:rRNA from 1 species
GACGAACGCUGGCGGCGUGCUUAACACAUGCAAGUCGAACGGAAAGGCCCUGCUUUUGUGGGGUGCUCGAGUGGCGAACGGGUGAGUAACACGUGAGUAACCUGCCCUUGACUUUGGGAUAACUUCAGGAAACUGGGGCUAAUACCGGAUAGGAGCUCCUGCUGCAUGGUGGGGGUUGGAACGUUUCGGCGGUUGGGGAUGGACUCGCGGCUUAUCAGCUUGUUGGUGGGGUAGUGGCUUACCAAGGGUUUGACGGGUAGCCGGCCUGAGGGGGUGACCGGCCACAAUGGGACUGAGGUACGGCCCAGUAUCCUACGGGAGGCAGGAGUGGGGGAUCUUGCACAAUGGGCGGAAGCCUGAUGCAGCAGCGCCGCGUGCGGGAUGACGGCCUUCGGGUGGGAAACCGCUUUCGCCUGUGACGAAGCGUGAGUGACGGUAAUGGGUAAAGAAGCACCGGCUAACUACGUG